AGUGAACGCUGGCGGCAGGCCUAACACAUGCAAGUCGAGCGGCAGCGCGUCCGACCACCCUCGGGUGGUCGGAUGGCGGCGAGCGGCGGACGGGUGAGGAAUGCAUCGGAACUCUGCCUCGUUGUGGGGGAUAACGUAGGGAAACUUACGCUAAUACCGCAUACGACCUACGGGUGAAAGUGGGGGGACCUUCGGGCCUCACGCGAUGAGAUGAGCCGAUGCCGGAUUAGCUAGUUGGUAGGGUAAAGGCCUACCAAGGCGACGAUCCGUAGCGUGGUCUGAGAGGAUCGAUCAGCCACACUGGAACUGAGACACGGUCCAGACUCCUACGGGAGGCAGCAGUGGGGAAUCUUAGACAAUGGGCGCAAGCCUGAUCUAGCCAUGCCGCGUGAGCGUAUGAAGGCCUUAGGGUUGUAAAGCUCGUUUCAGUGGGAAGAUAAGUGACUGUACCCACAGAAGAAGCCCCGGCUAACUCCGUGCC
rnacentral:rRNA from 1 species